rnacentral:rRNA from 1 species
GGGUGAGUAAUGUCUGGGAAACUGCCUGAUGGAGGGGGAUAACUACUGGAAACGGUAGCUAAUACCGCAUAACGUCGCAAGACCAAAGAGGGGGACCUUCGGGCCUCUUGCCAUCAGAUGUGCCCAGAUGGGAUUAGCUAGUAGGUGGGGUAACGGCUCACCUAGGCGACGAUCCCUAGCUGGUCUGAGAGGAUGACCAGCCACACUGGAACUGAGACACGGUCCAGACUCCUACGGGAGGCAGCAGUGGGGAAUAUUGCACAAUGGGCGCAAGCCUGAUGCAGCCAUGCCGCGUGUAUGAAGAAGGCCUUCGGGUUGUAAAGUACUUUCAGCGGGGAGGAAGGUGUUGUGGUUAAUAACCACAGCAAUUGACGUUACCCGCAGAAGAAGCACCGGCUAACUCCGUGCCAGCAGCCGCGGUAAUACGGAGGGUGCAAGCGUUAAUCGGAAUUACUGGGCGUAAAGCGCACGCAGGCGGUCUGUCAAGUCGGAUGUGAAAUCCCCGGGCUCAACCUGGGAACUGCAUUCGAAACUGGCAGGCUAGAGUCUUGUAGAGGGGGGUAGAAUUCCAGGUGUAGCGGUGAAAUGCGUAGAGAUCUGGAGGAAUACCGGUGGCGAA